rnacentral:rRNA from 1 species
CCAGCAGCCGCGGUAAUUCCAGCUCCAAUAGCGUAUAUUAAAGUUGUUGCAGUUAAAAAGCUCGUAGUUGGAUUUCUGGUGUGGGGCACUUGACCGGCUGCGGUUACGCAGUCAGAGUCGGUGUGCCUCGACCAUCCUUCUAGAAAUUGGCUCUGUCUUUCAUUAGAUUGGGGUCAGGAUCUAGAUCUUUUACUUUGAAAAAAUUAGAGUGUUUAAAGCAGGCUUUUCGCCUUGAAUACAUUAGCAUGGAAUAAUAACUUAGGACUUUGGUUCUAUUUUGUUGGUUUCUAGGACUGAAGUAAUGAUUGAUAGGGAUAGUUGGGGGUGCUAGUAUUCAGCGGCCA